CUAUAUACAUGGUGUUUCCUUUUUGCGGGGGUUACUGCCUUUUGUUACCUGUUCUACUUGAUUCCAUGGAGAUCUCAGAUACCAGCUUUUGUUUGCUUGGCCUGUUGGUUCCUGUCUGGAUUCACAUUGAUGCCAGCUGAAAUUCCUGAUAAUAAUCCAUUGGUGAUAUCCAGCGGAGUUAUGAUCACUGUUAUAGGAGUAGCUGCAAGGUGGCUAGACAAGCAUGCAGAAGGCAGUAAGUAUUGGUCAAGUAUCUGUAGUUGUGACAUGAAAAAGUCAAAGUUCUCUGUGCUCUUCCUCUUGCAGGUACUAUUGGUGGGGUUGUCCUCAAUGAUGGUAUCACUCUCGACAU